GACGAACGCUGGCGGCGUGCUUAACACAUGCAAGUCGAACGAUGAACCCGGAGCUUGCUCUGGGGGAUUAGUGGCGAACGGGUGAGUAACACGUGAGUAACCUGCCCUGGACUCUGGGAUAAGCGUUGGAAACGACGUCCAAUACCGGAUAGGACCUUGGAUCGCAUGAUCUGGGGUGGAAAGUUUUUUCGGUCUGGGAUGGACUCGCGGCCUAUCAGCUUGUUGGUGAGGUAAUGGCUCACCAAGGCGUCGACGGGUAGCCGGCCUGAGAGGGUGACCGGCCACACUGGGACUGAGACACGGCCCAGACUCCUACGGGAGGCAGCAGUGGGGAAUAUUGCACAAUGGGCGAAAGCCUGAUGCAGCAACGCCGCGUGCGGGAUGACGGCCUUCGGGUUGUAAACCGCUUUUAGUAGGGAAGAAGGGCUUCGGCUUGACGGUACCUGCAGAAAAAGGACCGGCUAACUACGUG
rnacentral:rRNA from 1 species